AAAUUUAUCAAAUUUUUAUUUUUUAUUUUCUUCAAAAAAAAAAAGUGCCUAGGGACACAUUUUAAUCUAUAUAUUUUUGCACAUGCUCAAUAAAUGGCAUUUUUGAAGAGUGCACAUGUGCAUAAAUGCCUGAGGGAACCUCAGAGUAUGACGUAAGAGGGAACCCGCGAUAAAUCAAACUUUAAAUAAAGAAAAACAACAGGGAACAAAAAAAUAGUAAAUUAGUCAUUAGGUGCCAUGUUCAAUACAGCAGUGUCUCAAAUCUCAAACCAAUUAAAUAGGAUAAGUUAUUACUCCCACUUGCAUAUGAUGUCAUUAACAAUUGCCUAAUAUUGUUGAACUAAUGUGGUUCAAACGACGGAGAUGCGACAGUAUCUGGGAAACAGUCAUGACUAGCUAGUUUGUCUCCACAUCAAUGCAUUGUACUAUGGUGGUUAAUCAGAGAGUUACAUUGUUGUAUGGGAAAUGCACCCCUGAAGAGAUUAAAGCCAGAUUUGGGGAUAGCUUUUUUGUUUUGUUUUCUGCUGAAUGGGCAACAUUUCAGUAGCUCAGUAGGUAGCUAGCAAACAUUAGUGUACUUGUUAGCUGAAUUCAGAUAGGUAUUGCAUAUCUUUCUUUUUUUCUUCUUCCUGUUUUGAUAUAGUCAGUGAGGUAAAUUGCACUUAUUUUCUGCUAGCUAUGAAAGAUUCAAUUCUACUCUGUGUCACUUGGUCAGAACAAAAGCAGAAGAUACAGUAUAUGCUAGUAGAACGUACUGUACUUCUUACUGUCAUGUCGAUGUACAAUGGUAGAUCCACUCUGAUGUGAUGAUCAUAAAUUUGCAGGAUUGUUCACCCCAAAAUUAAACUUUUGCAUGUUUUUUUGUCCCCAGUUUUGGUCCCCACUGACAUCCAUAGCAUGGCAAAAAUACUGUGGAAGUCAAUGGAAACCAAAACAGUUUGGAGUAGCGAAGUACACAGGUGCCCAGAUGGGAACAUGCAGAGAGCAGUAAAUCAUGGACCUGUUGUGAGUGAAGAAAAGAGAGGCAACUCUUAGUAUCCAAUGAAAAGAGGUUGUUUUUGACGAGUGUGAAAGGAAAACCAGUCUUUUCAGAGUAGAGUUAUAAAAUGGAAAGGAGGGAUAGAGGCUUGCACUACAUCAGUUAAUGGACUGUGUGUAGUGAGUCAUAAGCUUCAGAAGAAAAUUGACAUGAAAAUACCAAUAACUAGGUGUACUCAGUCAGGUCCUCUGGUGAUCUGCAUAUACUGUAGACUGUCAACAGACAAACACAGUAAAUUGUCCCUUUGCUUAUGA
ensembl:lncRNA